rnacentral:lncRNA from 1 species
AUUUUUAUGAGGCAUAGGUAAUAACAAAUCAUGACCAAUGUAUAAAUUUCACAUGCCCAGGUUUUAUAUUUUAUUUAAUACAAAAAUAACAAUUUGUUAAUGCAAUAAAGCUUGUGAGAGCAAGUUAAUUCUAAAAUUAAUUAUUUUCUGUGGAUGCAUGACCAUAUUAAGUUUUCUUAGCCUACUAUAAUGUCAUGCAAGGACAGUGGAACACCAUUUUACAUUUUUGCAUCUAUACAUUAUUUUUAAAUCAUUUAAAACUAUUUAAGGUGCAUUAAACAAGUUAAAUUACUAACUUAAUCAUACAUGCACCACAAUUCAUGAAAUUUUUACCAGUCACUAAGCAUCACACCAAGUGUCUACUGUAAAAAUUUGAAUCUAUUUGGAGCACUAGAGCUACAGAUCCAAAAAUAACAAGCAAAUAAACCUUCCUUUCUCUAUUUAACUUGUUUUAAUUAACACACCAAGAAAACAGUGAACAACAUAUAAGUUUUAUAUUUUUUCUUGAUGGGGUAUGACAACAUCUAACUAACAAAACAAGUUUCAUCAUUUUUGGAUUUUUGUAAUUAAAACUAUGGAGAGAUGCAAGUUCGUUUAUUCUCUAAACCUGUUUUUAAAUACGAAUUUUUACAGAAAAACUUUUCCACUAAAACAUGCCAACAUAUAGAUCCAAUAGUUAGAGCAUUUCAUAAGAAAGCCAACAAAACAAAUUUCACGAUUUUAGGAGCUCUAAAACUUGAGAUAUGAAUUUUAGAACACAACACAAAAAUCUGUAAUUAGUGUGCACACUCACAUUGGCCCUGGGCCCACAUGUCAUAGACAGCGGGGUCUUCUUCUUCCCUUGACUUCUACACGCACAGCAACAGGGGCAAUCUGUAGGGCGCGUGCUCCAGGCCGGCUAAAGAGAAGCUAGGCGCCAAGCUAUAGACUAGAGGGGCGGCAACAAAGAAACAACGAGAGUAAACUCGAUCUGCCCACCCAAGGAGGGCUCAGCUGUCGAAGUUGAAGGGGAUGUCGCCAUGAGAGCUACGUCGGGCACCAGCCAUGGAAAAAAAAGGCUUCCCUGCGCUAGAGAGGGGGAGAGGAGGGAGAAGCGCCGUGGAGAGGGGAGGUUCUCGGCCAUGGCAGCAGCAGGGAGGGGCACGGGGUAUAAAUAGAAGGGAGUGAGCUUCAACCAUUGGUGGCAUGGGCGGCAUUGCUGCAGAGCUCAGAGCAGGACAGUCUGCUGGCAGGUGAUGGCAGGACGACUUUGGACGUCCAGUUUUGGCAUCUUCCUCUUGGAAUCGGAUCUUGGCCACUGCACAAAAUAUCUUCCUUGAUGUAUAAUCUACAACUCGUUUAUAGAGAUUGAGGUGAUUCGGGCAGUGGUUAGAAAGUUAUAGACCCACGAAAACUGGUUUGUCAGUGUGUCAGAAAACAGUGGAAACUCGCAAAAACUGAAUGUCAAAGCAUGUCAAACGGAAUCGGAUGAAUGCCACCUUUUAAUAUGUUGUGCCCCUAUUAGUUAUUAACAACUUUUAUAUUUGGGAAAACUUGAAUUGUUCAACAAAAAUUUGGGAACGCGAGACGUCUGUAAGGAAAAUGGACCCCGGGCCAUUUGGCUAAUUGAGUUUUGGUGUUUGAUGAACAACACAAUCAAUGAACUAAUAAGGCUUCUAGUGUUUGUGUUUGUAGUUCACAGAAUGCGAAGAGAGUUGGACCAAGGCAAUGAGGAAGCAACACCUCAAAAGAAGACAUUAAAAGAUGCGUAGAAGUCCAAUACUCAAGAACAAAGAAGCCCGAAGAAAUCAGCGAAGAAAUCCAAAGAAGGGCUGUCAGCCAGCGCCUGGUGGCGCACCGGACAUGCUACAGUGCACUGUCCGGUGUGCACCGGACUGUCCGGUGAGGUCUCGGACAGUCUGCGCAGAGAGGCCACAGGCAGGCACUCUCUGGCUGUAGCACCGGACUGUCCGGUGUGCACCGGACUGUCCGGUGUGCCAACGGGCAGACGGCAACGGUCGAAUCCAACGGUCGGAUCCAACGGUCGGAUCCAACGGUCGACUGCUACAGACGCCAACGGUCGGCUGACAUAGGCGCACCGGACAUCUACUGUUCAGUGUCCGGUGGUGCACCGGACUGUCCGGUGCACCCGACGACAGAAAGCUGCUGCUUUCUGUCCAACGGCUAGUUGGGGGUGUGGAGGCUAUAAAUACCACCCCAACCGGCCAUUCUCAUGUGUGAGAGCCCAAGCAACAUUCCAAUACACAUAGUGCAUAUUUCCAAGUGCUCAAACACCCAAGUGCUUAAUAGAAUCACUCGGUGAUUAGCGUAGGUGCUUUGCGAAGUGCUUAGGUUAGUUAGACCGCUUUAGCGCUUGCUCUAGGUGAAUCCUAGUUAGUUGAGUGAGUCUAGAUAAACCUCACAACCCCUCGGCUCUUGCGCGAGCCGUUGUAAUUGUACCGAGUGGGGCGAGAGUCUUGCGAGACCGUGACAACCGUGUUUGUGUCACGGCCGCCACCGUGUACCGGAGGGAACGAGGCCCGCGGCGUUUCGGCCGGAAGCUCGAUAGUGGAGACGGCGGGGAGCGUCCGAGAGGAGCCGGAAGCGGAGCACCACUUGCGCGUGGAGAAGGCCCGCGGCUCUCUACGGAGUUACUCGACCGAGGUGCUUGGCCCUCGCGUGGGCUUCCCUUUGCGUAGGGGCACCAACGAGGAUUAGUCGGGACCUUGCGUGGUUCCGGAUACCUCGGUAAAAAUACCGGCGUCAUCCACGAGAGUUUGCUUCUCUACUUAGCUCUUUACAUUCCGCAUUUAUAUUAAAGCAUUUAAGUUUCAAUCUUGUUGUCAUACUUAUUUAGUGUAGAUUGAAACUUAGUCUUUGCGGUAGAGAUAGCAACACUUAGACAAAACCUAGUUUGCACAUUCUAGUGUUGAUUCUUGCAUAGGUUUUGCUCUAGGGAUUUAAUUGUGGCCAAGUUUAGUAAAAGUUUUAGAAGUCCUAAUUCACCCCCCCCCUCUUAGGCGUCACCCGUUUCCUACAAUUGGUAUCAGAGCCCGGUUUGGCUCAUUUGAAACGCUUUAGCUUCACCGCUAAAAGAGCCGACGCUUUUUAGAGGAAGGGAUGGAUACCCAUAGGCCACCACACUUCGACGGCACUAACUUCCCUUAUUAUAGUGCUAGAAUGGCUUGUUACCUAGAGGCCGUUGAUCUAGGUGUUUGGAGAGUCACUCGUGACGGGAUGAAACCCCUCAAGAAUCCCGAGAAACCCACCACGAGUGAGGAAAAAGAAAUUCAUUUAAAUGCUAGAGCCAAAAAUUGCUUGUAUGAAUCUCUUAGCAUGGAUAUUUUCAAUCAAGUAUUUACCCUGAAAACUGCUAAUGAGAUUUGGCUAAAAUUGCAUGAGCUCCAUGACGGCACAUCCAAUGUCCGUGAGCAAAAACAUUGCCUAGUCUUAAAUGAGUAUAAUUCUUUUGCUAUGAAAGAUGAUGAGCUUGUUAGAGACAUGUAUUCUCGCUUGAAUCUAAUUAUCAAUGAGCUCAAUUCUAUUGGCAUUAAUAAGCUAGGUGAUGCGGACAUUGUGAGGAAGAUUAUCUCCCUGCUACCACAACAAAGAUAUGGGAGCAUCAUCACCAUCCUUCACAACAUGGAGGACUUGAGCAACAUGACCCCGACCAUUGUGAUUGGGAAAAUCGCGGCCUUUGAGAUGUCGCGAAAAAUGAGUCGGGGAGAGGAGCCAACUUCCUCAAGACCAUAUGCUUUUGCAUGUGAUGAAAGGAAGGGCAAAAAGAAGGCUCCCACUCCAAGUUCCUCAAGUGAAGAAGAGGAAGAAGAAGAAAGUGAUGAUGAUGAAGAUAAUCAACCAUGCACAUCAUCCUCCGAGGACGAAGAAACGAUCCGACGCGUCGGAAAGGUAAUGGGGAUGAUCCGCAAGAUUAAUCUAAUGGGUGUGCCCCUGCAGGUCGAGGAUCUUCUCUUUAACAUUGACAGAAAAAAGCAAAGGAAGAGAGGAUGCUUCGCAUGUGGGGAGAAGGGCCACUUCAGGGACAACUGUCCAAAUAUGGCCAAACCCAACAAGGAGAGGAGCAAAGGCAAGGCGCUAACAAGUGUUAGAACGUGGGAUGAUUCUUCAAGUGAAGAUGAACCUCCAAGGACGCGCAGCCACCGGUCCUCGUCACGAUCAUCACGGUCAUCACACAAAUGCCUUAUGGCAAGAGGUAACAAAAGCACUCCAUCCUCUAGUGAUGAAAGUAGUAGUGAUGAUGAAGGUGAGGGAAAAGCCUCUCUAGAUGAGCUUGCGGAAGCCGUAGAAUUUUUCCAGGAUGUUUGCACUAAGCAAAAAGCUCAACUUAAAACUUUGAAAAAUAAGUUGGUUAGCUCUCAAAAUGAUUACAAAGGUUUGCUAGAAAAAUUUGAAACUUUUGCAAACUUAAAUAGUGAGCUAUCAACUAAACUUGAGCUAUUAGAAUCUAGUGCUCCAUCCACUGCUACCGAUGAUAGCCUUAUUAAAAAGAAUGAAAAACUUAAGGCUAAGUUAGCUAGCUCCCAAGAAGCUAUUGAAAAUUUGCUAGAGAAAAUGGAAAUUCUUAGCAUACACAAUAAUGAGCUAACUACUAAGCUAGAAAACAUUGGUAGCACCCCAGCAGCAUCUUUAGUUGAAAUUCCUGAAAUUAUUAAGAAAGAUGCUUCUACUUCCUGCUUUGACUUAAUUGAUGAUUCUAACCCCUGCAACCAAGUUGUUGUUGAGAAUAUUGUUGUAGAGACAUGCUCUGAUGAGGUUGCAAAGGAAAAUGAACAAUUAAAGCAAGAAGUGGCUCGUCUUGGCAAGGCUUUGUAUGACAAGAAAGGCAAAGCCAAACAAAUCCGACCUCCACAGGAUAACACCACUGCGGGAGUGAACAAGCCUGUAGAGGGAGAAACUGUGAUUUGUAGGCUAUGCCACAAGGGAGGCCACAAGUCUUUCCAAUGCAAGGCGAUGACCGGAGAUAAACAAAGGCAAAAGCUCAAGCAAAAGCCAACAAGCAAAAUCUCCAGCACCUACAUCAAAAAGGUGAACAAAAAGGACGCUACACCAUAUUUGAUCAAGAAGAAAAAGAAUGGAAAGGUGAUAGCAAUCAAGGCCAACAAGCAAGCCAACAAAGGAAAGGGGGCCAAACGCAUCUGGGUGCCAAAAGAGAUAAUUUCAACCAUGAAAAGCACCAAGAAGGUUUGGAUCCCGAAAGGGAAGUGAGUGGACCAAAGGUCUUCGGGAAAUUUGGAGACUUAGCUAAAUUGGGAUGUAUUUCAUGGGAUACAUCAUAUUGGAUCAAGUUUAUUGCCAAGUGGGCUAGUGAAAAUUUUGGACCCAAAUUUCCCACCCAUGACUAAGGUAACUAGUUUUGUUGUAUUUUUUGUUUUUAGAUAUGCGUAUCUAUUUACCUUUUAUCUAGUUUACCUUUCUUGCCUAGUAUUACAUUUGUUAUGUACUUUUGUUCAAAAUCAUGCAUACUAGGUAAAUCAUAUGGUAGGAUUGCUAGUUUUUAAAUUCAUAUACUUAAGCAAACCUACAUGGCUUAAAAUGUUUAGUUAAAGCACGGCACAUAGCUUUUAUAUCACUCUAUAGUAAAUGAUGCAAUAAUUGAAAAUUUUGAUUCCUACAAAGUGUAUCAUUUAACUUAUAUGUGCCAAAGUUUGGAUUAUGGAUAAUUUGCCCCUCUUGAUAUCAAAUCAAAGUGCAUGUCUCCUACAAGUAUUCAAAACUUGUAUGCACACCUUUAGGGGGAGGUUACUCUAUAAUCUAACACUUUGAGACUAACACCUUUUCAAGUCUAUUUCAUGUGAUAGUCUCAUUGUAAGGAAAAUGAAGUCCCCGGAGAAAGACAACAAUCUUCCACUGCAAAAUCUCCAAGAACUCUCAUGUCUCUCAAGCUCGCCAUUGAUCUUCAAUUGGUAUCUUUUGAGACUACAUUCAGUAUCAUUUACAUGUCUUCUCCCAAAUUUGAUUAGACUAUAUUUCAUAUCAUAUGCUUCCAUGUUGCAAAAAUGCAUAAGUAGUUAACUCAUAGUCUGUUACCUAUGCAUAAGGGAAGUUAGUCUUUUCAAAUCAUGUCUUGCACCUCUAAUUUUUCACAUGCUUUUUCCCUAAGUAGAGCAUCCCUGUCAGGGGGAGUAUUUCUUCAUCUCUAAAGGGGGAGAAAAACUCUUUCUAAAGGAGACAACUCAUUUAGGGGGAGUAAUCUUUUGAGGACUCCUUCAAGUGGUAUCAUUCACAUAGUUUAAUUUAAUAUCCUUCUAGUGAUAUCAUUUGAUACAAUUCUUGAUGAGGGCAAGCUUUUAUUUACUUCCUACAUGCUUUUAAUGUCUUCCUUUUCGGUGGUUGAUGCCAAAGGGGGAGAAGUUUAGGGACCAAAGCAAUGAAAACUAUAUCAAACACCACACCAAUUUAAAAUUUUAUAUCUACAAAUGGUUUUUCAAGUGGUUUUGGUUAUUUGGUCCAAAUAUAGGAAGUAAGUGAAUUAUGGAGUUAGGGGGAGGCUUAAGUCCAUAAUAUCACAUUGUGGGGACAAUCAUGCAUCUUAGCAAGUAGAUUGCAUAUUUUCACUCAAAUUCUUGUAUUAUUUGCUUGCUUUGGUUGUGUUGUCAUCAAUCACCAAAAAGGGGGAGAUUGUAAGGAAAAUGGACCCCGGGCCAUUUGGCUAAUUGAGUUUUGGUGUUUGAUGAACAACACAAUCAAUGAACUAAUAAGGCUUCUAGUGUUUGUGUUUGUAGUUCACAGAAUGCGAAGAGAGUUGGACCAAGGCAAUGAGGAAGCAACACCUCAAAAGAAGACAUUAAAAGAUGCGUAGAAGUCCAAUACUCAAGAACAAAGAAGCCCGAAGAAAUCAGCGAAGAAAUCCAAAGAAGGGCUGUCAGCCAGCGCCUGGUGGCGCACCGGACAUGCUACAGUGCACUGUCCGGUGUGCACCGGACUGUCCGGUGAGGUCUCGGACAGUCUGCGCAGAGAGGCCACAGGCAGGCACUCUCUGGCUGUAGCACCGGACUGUCCGGUGUGCACCGGACUGUCCGGUGUGCCAACGGGCAGACGGCAACGGUCGAAUCCAACGGUCGGAUCCAACGGUCGGAUCCAACGGUCGACUGCUACAGACGCCAACGGUCGGCUGACAUAGGCGCACCGGACAUCUACUGUUCAGUGUCCGGUGGUGCACCGGACUGUCCGGUGCACCCGACGACAGAAAGCUGCUGCUUUCUGUCCAACGGCUAGUUGGGGGUGUGGAGGCUAUAAAUACCACCCCAACCGGCCAUUCUCAUGUGUGAGAGCCCAAGCAACAUUCCAAUACACAUAGUGCAUAUUUCCAAGUGCUCAAACACCCAAGUGCUUAAUAGAAUCACUCGGUGAUUAGCGUAGGUGCUUUGCGAAGUGCUUAGGUUAGUUAGACCGCUUUAGCGCUUGCUCUAGGUGAAUCCUAGUUAGUUGAGUGAGUCUAGAUAAACCUCACAACCCCUCGGCUCUUGCGCGAGCCGUUGUAAUUGUACCGAGUGGGGCGAGAGUCUUGCGAGACCGUGACAACCGUGUUUGUGUCACGGCCGCCACCGUGUACCGGAGGGAACGAGGCCCGCGGCGUUUCGGCCGGAAGCUCGAUAGUGGAGACGGCGGGGAGCGUCCGAGAGGAGCCGGAAGCGGAGCACCACUUGCGCGUGGAGAAGGCCCGCGGCUCUCUACGGAGUUACUCGACCGAGGUGCUUGGCCCUCGCGUGGGCUUCCCUUUGCGUAGGGGCACCAACGAGGAUUAGUCGGGACCUUGCGUGGUUCCGGAUACCUCGGUAAAAAUACCGGCGUCAUCCACGAGAGUUUGCUUCUCUACUUAGCUCUUUACAUUCCGCAUUUAUAUUAAAGCAUUUAAGUUUCAAUCUUGUUGUCAUACUUAUUUAGUGUAGAUUGAAACUUAGUCUUUGCGGUAGAGAUAGCAACACUUAGACAAAACCUAGUUUGCACAUUCUAGUGUUGAUUCUUGCAUAGGUUUUGCUCUAGGGAUUUAAUUGUGGCCAAGUUUAGUAAAAGUUUUAGAAGUCCUAAUUCACCCCCCCCCUCUUAGGCGUCACCCGUUUCCUACAGUCGACUCGAACGAUGCUGAUUUCAGACUUAGAAGAAUUCGAAUUCUGAAAUCUGAUUUUUAUUCUGUCUUGAUGGCACUGUUUGAGAUACUUAGAGAUUGAAUCAAGGUUUGGUUUAAAUAAAAUAUUUGUUGUAUAACACAUGUUCUACAAAUUUUAUUAAAGGUCAAACCUCAUAUCUUGAAUAUAAAUAAAAGUUUCACUUUGGUCAAGGUAGCAUCAUUAUAAUGCUUCAAACUAUAUUUUUAAGGCAAUCAGGGUAUUUUCUCGGUAUUUCCUUGGCAUUUUCUCUACAUGAACCCUUAAUAACUUUUGUUGUAGAGUUGAUUUAGAGUGUUUUGGGAAAGUUGCCAUAACUUGUUUGAAUUUCUAAAUUUGCUUUUACUUAAUCGAGCAGUCUCAGGUAAGCGUAGGAUUUAUAAUUUCACACGAAUAUUUGGUUCAAACUUUAAGAAAUCUUUAGAAUACGCUUGAUAGAUAGAGAUGGAUGAUGACAUAAAUAUAACAAGCUGAAUUGCAUAAUAAAUAAUUAGAGGUUGACACUAUAGAGAUUUCACUGAAGAAUGCGGAUUCGAAUUAAGUAUUUGGACGUAGACCGACUAUCGAGAAAGCGGAUUCGGACAUAGAUCGGAUAAUAUCACAACUGUUAAGAGUCCAAAUAAAUGAGUCUGGACAAGAGUUAUGAGGCGAUAUUGACUUUCGAAUUUGCAUUUGCUCCGAGAAAUAAAAGUUUUAACAGGCUCCAAAUUUGGUUGUUCUUGAGAUCGAAUAAUUCCAAAUUUGGUGAAACAUUCAUGAGUAACUUGAUGAAUGAAGAUAGAUGUGAUAAAGAGAUAGAAAUUUUCACUGAGCAUCCGAGAUUAGGAUAAAUCUCCCGACAUAACGCGAAAUAGACACCUGGGGUGUCACAGCCUUCCCCCCUUAAAAGAAUCUCGUCCCGAGAUUCGAAUGAGGAUCUUCAAGGGUGGAGAAGCAUGUAACUCCCAAGCUGAAGAUAGAUGCAAAUUCAUGAAAUGUCAUCUGACAAGAUACUGAAAAUAGAUUUGGACGUAAUACCGUGACAUAUUGAGACAAAAUGCCACGACCACUUUGAGAGAGUGUUCACAAAACACAGCACAUCGGUGUAGUUCCAUAAUGGAUCACGACUAUUAACCGCGAUACCAGCGCGUGCCGAGUAGCUCAACCAUGUGUGCACCAUAGUAGGCUCUCGGUUUCAUCGCGGCACCAUCAGUCAUUGGUCAUAAUACCAUUACCAAACACAACAAAUGAGAAAUUCACAUAGCAUAGAUAGAUGGAGCCCGUGAGAGUAUGGCUCAGAAAAUAAGAAUGUGACCGGAGUUGAAGCAGAGAUUGUUGGCAAAAGAGCAUCACAUGAGAAUUUUCUUCAACUUAGAGAACUAUUUUAUGAUCAACACGGAGAUUACCAGGCCAGAGAUUAGUACGAGAUGGGAUACCAGAAGGAAGCACUCAAGAGAUCAUGAUUACUGAGCUUCUCAGAGACAUUAGAGAACCACAAGAUAACAACAAAAUCCCUUGAUCCAAAUGGAUACAUUGUCUAUAGAUAAAACCGAUAAAGCAACGUCAUGAUCAUCGGAGAGAAGAGUAUGAGAACGAUCAUAAUGAGAUAUGAGACAGAUCCAUAUUUAAUACUUGAGAGUGGGUUAUAGAAGAUAACAAGAUGACGGGGUAGAUCUCGAUGAAUGAUCCAGAGAUUCGUAUGAUAAAGCCACAACAUGAUUCACAGGGAAAAGAUUACCAGAUUUAGGUGAAAAAGAGAGGUCAUCAACCCAGAUGGCUUCUAGGUUGAGCAGAGGAGAAUUUAAAGAGGCUUCUGGACAAGAUUUCCAAAAAGAAUUUGAGACUGGAUAUUGUUUUGCGCAAUAGACACCAACCAAAGUUUUAUAUAAUUUUUUUAACAUAAACAAGUGCACAAGGAGGCUUUAGGCGAUCUAGUGGUCAAGCUAAAGAGAUCUACAAGCUGUGUAGGUGUAACUUCAAGGGUGAAACACGCAAGGGUUCAAAAAACACUAACACCAACACAAGCAUAUGAUAAUUUUUUUAAAAGGUUUUACUUGCUAACCAAAAGGCUAUUUGGGGGGGGUCUUUUCAUGAGCAGAACAUACAACAUUUUUUGUAAAAAGGGUUGAACAAUACAAUACCACCUAGAUAGCAAGACAAGAGAAACACAUAACACGACCUAACAAGACUUACCAAUCUGACACGAGGUAAGACAUUUCUAACAUAGAAGUACAUCACAUUAUUCACAAGUUCUUAUUAUUGGAAUAAAGGUGAGAGAAGCAUGUUGGUGCACAAGAGACAAUUAUAAUGCGACAAUCAUGAUGCAUGCUCAUUCUAGUCGUCUUCUCAGACCUAACUACUUUUCGAGUGCUUCUACAACAUCCUUAUUAAUAGUAGUAGUAGCCUUUAGGGCCUAUAUAAAUAGCCACCUAGCUACCCAUCUAUUUCCUAAGGCUUCACGUCCUAGGUCUAUCCUUAUCGUCCUGAUAUCUAUACAACUUUGGUUUCUAAGCAAGUUUUACUUUAGAAAAGGUUGGUAAUCAUGACUUAUUGACUUCUCUGUACUGGUAUUCGCUCCGAUACCAGCUGUGGCGGAACCGCCCGAAUUAUUCCAGCGUGAGUGCCCAAAUCUCGUCUUAGGGGCAACGACGCACUUAAAUUGGAAUAACCCGUCAGUCCCUCGGAUCUAGUCCGAUAAAGCCACUUAUCCAGGAUCGAAUACCACUAGCUCACUCGAAGGUGAGGCACAGAGAAAUACAAUAAAGCAUAAUACCACAAAUUUAAGAAGUAUUAAUAGUGAUUACAUUAUCGGAGUUUCAAAAGCAGUAACAAUAGUUUUUAGUGCAGCGGAAAUAACUAACGGAGAAAACCGAGUAUCAUGGCGAAGCCUGGCCACGCUACUCCUCCUGGUCCUCUCCUACGGAAACAGUAACCCACUCAACCGUCUAUCCCGGUGGCAGGGAUGAAGGCUAAGUCACACCAUCAACCAAAUCAAGGAGGUACCUGCAAAAAUUAUGCCACAAGCAAGGCUGAGUAUACUAAUACUCAGCUAGACUUACUCGGUGUGAGGAGUCUACUCCUCUACCUCUAGACAUGCAGCUGUUUGGCUGAGGGGUUUGGUUUGCCAAAAGCACUAGCUGAGUCUAACAUCAAGUUUUAGCUUUUCAAGUUCUAGAAUAAUAACUUAGACUAGAUGAGAACCUAUCUAUUCAUACAUGAUAUCAAACAUUAUAUCAAUCAACAUCUUUUGCCAGUAUCUCAUUUCCACUUAUUACUCAAUGCAGUACAAUGGAUCAAGCAGUCUCAUUAGCUGCGAGAAGCAGACGAUUCGAAUCGAGUUUUAACCUUGCAAGGUAAACCUAAACACACGACAUGUCAGGGCACUCCGUCCCCACACAUGUCAACCGUCCCCAUCGAUUCCCCGUUCGCGUCCAGGCCUCACCGCCUUGGCAUACAAUGCUCCACUGACCCCGGCCGCCGCCGUGCAGUGGCCGCACUUGUACCCACCAUAUCUAGAAUGGGAGACCCAGUCUCAGGUCGCGUGAGGGAUAAAGUCCGCGCCCGGCUUCACUCAGGUACUAGGUUUACCGGUUACCAUUUUUCCCGACAUGUGCUUAGUAUGUUCAAACGUUUGACACAGGUAUCCGCACGUUAAUUCUUAUUCCAAUUUUGUCUCAUAGACAACGCAUCCCCAUGGAUCCGUGUCCACAGACCAUCAUCAUUCCGUUAUCAAAAAUGGAUACAACCAAUUCCUGACCUCGCGCGAGUGCUAGAAAAAUCACUCGACUUCUACCGAGAUCCUGAUUUAGCAUAGCAGCUACUCGACCUAGCAUACUAGUAUCCAUCUCAAAAGGAAUCCUGAGUUCAUGCAACUAGGGUUUCAACCAACUCCUACACUUAAGUGCACGGUACAAGCCUACAAACAUUAAGUGUAGUAAAAUAGCAUAUAUAAACGGUUAUGCAUAAAACCGGGGCUUGCCUUUAAUUUAACACUUAGGUAGUGUUUGUUGGGGGAGGUGCUCGCUUGGCGAGCAUCCACUGGUUAAGUCCAUCCUUUCUUGGGUCGUCCACCGACUGCAUCUUGUGGUUGGCACCACAUCACUUGCACGAUCAUCCUGUCUCGGUCCUAAAUGAGAUGCAAGAUGCAUAUGUAUGAAUAUGAUGAAAUAUAUCACAAGAUAAUCCCAAAAUGGACGGUAGCGAACUAAACAUUAAAUUGUAAGACACUGCGACAAUUGUACGCAAGCACUAGUUAUCUAUACGUCAUCGGGCAUACGUAGUCAAUCAUCACUGGAAAACCACAAACACUUCCUAUAAUUAUCUAUUGCAAACACGACAUCAUAAGUACAAGCAUUCGCCACGUUCACUUUUAUCAUUCAUUGGUUACUUAUUAUUAAACUAGUUAAGUACGCAUAAAUUUACGAUGACUUACACAUAGACAGACUUAGUUAAAAAAGAAUAGUUGCUUAAUCGGGUUUUACAAUCAUUCACAACCUUCUACUGCAAGCAUACACCCCAGAGAACACACAUGAGGAGAUAGUUUAUUCACAAUUACAAAUUGUACUACUUUAAUGACGUUGGUUACUUAGUAGUAUUAACAGAAAGGCAAAGACAAGACAUUAUCAUUUUGUUUCUUCGAACAUAUAACUGCAUUGCUAAGUGUUGAUUAAGCUAAGCUACGUAUUAGACCUUAACCAAUUUAGUUCACUAACUUAGUGAGAUGUGUACUAUUUACUUAUAUAUAACCUGAUUAUAUUAGUUACUAUCAUUGUUACUCAUAUUCACUUAAAACCAAAACAAGCAAGCAAUCACUCAAGUCAAACACAAUAGAGUAGAGCAAUCAAUCACUUCUAACACAUUUAGGACAGCAGCACAGUAGUUUUUGUUUUAAUCAUAACUCUUCAAAUAUUAGUUCAAAAUUAUCAAACUAGGAUUUUCUGGAAAGCUUAAAAAGUGUUCUACAACUUUGAUAUUUUUAUCUCAGCAUGAUUAGACUCUUAGCAAGGCCGAAUUGUGUAAACACAGCAGCUCUGUCCAGAUUUGGACAGAUUCAGACUUGCGACUUCAAAAAUUCACAACUACAGAUUCAGACAUCCAAACAAAGCGAUCCUAGACUUUCUGGAAAGGUAAUAAAAUUUUCUACAUAUCAUUUAUAAACAUAUCAAGGUGAUUCAAUAUUUAACUAAGGACAAAAGACACUAGAAGGCUUUGCUGUCCAGAAUUGGACAGAUUCAGUCUUCAGACUUUAAACAUCCAUAACUUAAUCUUCAGAUCACCAAGAAGAGUGAUCCAAGACUUUUUGAAAAGCUCAGCAAAAGCACUACAUAACUUUUAUAAUCACCAAAAAGUGAUUCCAUGUUUAACUAAAUCAAACAAUACAUUUUUCGAAAUCUGUUCUGUCAGUGGACAGAACACAGCAACCAGUUUGUAAAAUUCAUAAUUCUCAAACUGUCAGGCCUAUGGUUGUGAAAUUUUAACACAAGCAAGAUAAGAAAAGCAUCUAAAAUUUUCUUAUAAUGACCAUGAACAGAUUGUAACAUUAAAUUAGGCAAACAAUGCAGUUUCUGAAAUCUGUACAGAAUUUGGGCAGAUUCAGUUACUGAAUUUGUGAAAAGCACAACUUCUAAAUGAUCAGACGUAUGACUGUCAAGUUUUAACACAAGAACGUUAAUAGAGUUAUCUAUAACUUUAUUGUGACCAUCAAUAACUGAUUUUAACAUUAACUUAAGCAACAAUUGCAAUCUCUGAAAUCUGUUCAAAAAUUGGACAGAUUCAGUUACUAAACUUGUGAAAAGUAUAGCUCCUAAACAAUCAAUUCUUAGCUCAUGCAUUUUUAGGACAAGCUACAUACACAAGUAAACUACAACUUUUAUAUAGCACAUAUCUACAGAAAACACAAUUUACUUUACUAGAUUACUCACACAACCAAAACUGUACAUCCAUAAAAUUCAGUUUGCUAGCACAAGAGCACUUAACUAAAUCACCAAGCAAACUCAUAGAGAUACUAUCACCAAUUUCUUAAAUUCAAACCAUUAUGACCUAGUUGUAAAGUUUUAAUUUAUAUCAAGGCACUUAAGUAUUUCAAGAAACAUGCAUGCCCUUGUUUACUUCUAAUUUUUCACUAAUUGUUCUUAUAAUUAUAAAAUGUGUGUCAUUUUAGUACCAUAUAAAACUAUCUAAUUUGGGGCUGCAAUUUUUAUGAGGCAUAGGUAAUAACAAAUCAUGACCAAUGUAUAAAUUUCACAUGCCCAGGUUUUAUAUUUUAUUUAAUACAAAAAUAACAAUUUGUUAAUGCAAUAAAGCUUGUGAGAGCAACUUAAUUCUAAAAUUAAUUAUUUUCUGUGGAUGCAUGACCAUAUUAAGUUUUCUUAGCCUACUAUAAUGUCAUGCAAGGACAGUGGAACACCAUUUUACAUUUUUGCAUCUAUACAUUAUUUUUAAAUCAUUUAAAACUAUUUAAGGUGCAUUAAACAAGUUAAAUUACUAACUUAAUCAUACAUGCACCACAAUUCAUGAAAUUUUUACCAGUCACUAAGCAUCACACCAAGUGUCUACUGUAAACAUUUGAAUCUAUUUGGAGCACUAGAGCUACAGAUCUAAAAAUAACAAGCAAAUAAACCUUCCUUUCUCUAUUUAACUUGUUUUAAUUAACACACCAAGAAAACAGUGAACAACAUAUAAGUUUUAUAUUUUUCCUUGAUGGGGUAUGACAACAUCUAACUAACAAAACAAGUUUCAUCAUUUUUG